GCGUUGCGAUUGCUGCAGCAGAACAGAUGCCUCUGCUGCGAGAUGGCUCCUGGCCCCAGCCUGCGCGCUCCCGACUCCCUCCCCAAUCCUCCGGGCAGGAGUAAGAAGCUGAGAUUUGGUGCUAUGUCAAGAUCCCGGCCAUUCCCCCACCACAGAGAGACCCCAGCAGCACUGGGGAGCUGGAUCCCUUUUGGAUGCUGAAGUCGGGAGUAUUAUCACUGCAAGGGGGUGCGCAGACCUCUGUUUCCCAGCCCUCUGCAUCUGUAUUACUUAUAUCACUAAUAAAGCCUCCCAGGGUAUCAGUGGA